GAUGAACGCUGGCGGCGUGCCUAAUACAUGCAAGUCGAGCGAACAGAUAAGGAGCUUGCUCCUUUGACGUUAGCGGCGGACGGGUGAGUAACACGUGGAUAACCUACCUAUAAGACUGGGAUAACUUCGGGAAACCGGAGCUAAUACCGGAUAACAUAUUGAACCGCAUGGUUCAAUAGUGAAAGGCGGCUUUGCUGUCACUUAUAGAUGGAUCCGCGCCGUAUUAGCUAGUUGGUAAGGUAACGGCUUACCAAGGCAACGAUACGUAGCCGACCUGAGAGGGUGAUCGGCCACACUGGAACUGAGACACGGUCCAGACUCCUACGGGAGGCAGCAGUAGGGAAUCUUCCGCAAUGGGCGAAAGCCUGACGGAGCAACGCCGCGUGAGUGAUGAAGGUCUUCGGAUCGUAAAACUCUGUUAUCAGGGAAGAACAAAUGUGUAAGUAACUGUGCACAUCUUGAUGGUACCUGAUCAGAAAGCCACGGCUAACUACGUG
rnacentral:rRNA from 1 species